rnacentral:lncRNA from 1 species
CACCUCCCAGAUUCAAGUGAUUCUUGAGCCUCAGCCUCCUGAGUAGCUGGGAUUACAGGUGCAUGCCACUACACCUGGCUAAUUAUUGUAUUUUGAGUAGAGGCACAGUUUCACCAUGUUGGCCAGGCUGGUCUUAAACUUCUGACCUCGGGUGAUCCACCCACCUCGGCCUCCUAAAAUGCUUGGAUUACAGGCGUGAGCCACCGCACCCAGCCCAAGAGACCCUGUCUCAAAAAAAAAAAAAAAGGCUGGGCAUGGUUGCUCAUACCCGCAUACCUGUAAUCCCUGCACUUUGGGAGACUGAGGCAGGCAGAUCACUUGUGGUCAGGAGUUCAAAACCAGGCUGACCAACAUGGCAAAACCCUGUCUCUACCAAAAAUACAAAAGUUAUCUGGGCAUGGUGGCAGGCGUCUGUAAUCCCAGUACAUGAGAGGCUGAGGCAGGAGAAUCACUUGAACCCAGGAGGCGGAGGUUGCAGUGAGCCAAGAUCGUGCCACUGCACUCCAGCCUGGGCAACACAGAGACUUCAUCUUGAAAGGAAGAAGGAAGGAAAGCAUGAGGCACUGAGCCUGGCCUGAGCCCACAUCAUUCGGCUCUCUGAUGUGGAAAUAGAGUCUCAAAUGGGUCAAGAGAUUUGCUGAAAGUCACACAGUAAUAGCAUCAAUCUGUUUGGUUGCAGAACCAUAACUGUCCUAUUCUUGGGUGCCUCAUGGGGGAUCCUCAGGGCCAUGACUUCCAGACCAUUUCUGAGCUUCAUCAGUGGUACCUUCCCAGUCUGCAGAUGCUAUGUGACCUUCAUCUUGGUUUCUUGGGCCCCCAAAGCCUCCUUCCAGUACCAGCAAGCUCCAAACCAAAUAGGGUCUUAUUGAGGCACCAGGAGCCUGGCUGGG